rnacentral:lncRNA from 1 species
AUGUGCCAAGCUUUUUCCUAGGUGCUAAGAAUAUAAAGGUAGAAUUGAUUGAGUCAGCCCUCAAGAAGUUUCUAUUCUAGGUGAUGUCGAAGUAGUAUAAGUACUCUAUAAUUUAAAGUAAAGAAAUAGGGUAUGUUAGUGGGAAAAUCUGAGGAAAGAGAAAAUGUUUGUAAUUUAGGAACUCAGAGAAGGCAACAUAUAAGAGAAGGCACUCAAGCUAAAGCCUUUUUUUAUAGAGGAAAAUGAGGAAGCAUGGAAGAUUGCCCCAGAAAAUUUAUGGAGGUGUAAGAUGGCAGCUUAGGUCGGUUUCUGGUGUCAGUUUUCUGUACUCUUGACUGCAUGAAAGAGGAUAAUGUGAAAUAAAGUUAGAAAAAUAGACUGAAGCAUAUUGUGCUGAUGUUGCUUAAUGCUGCCUGGCCUUUGCUAUUGAGACAUUUCCUAGAAUAAUGGCUAACAUUUAAAGUUUACAGAGUGCUUCAAAUAUAUUAUUUUCUUUGAGCCUCACACAAAACUAUAGGGAUUGUAGGUAUUAUUGUCAUGUUACCUUUGGGGAAACUGAUGCUUCAAAGAUGAAAUGAUUUGCUCCUGGUCAUAUGGAAAGUAUUUAGGGUGGGAUACUGUGAUGCCUCUCCCAUACAAGAAGUAGUCGGUACCUACUGGUAACAAUACCUGAGAGAAAGUAGAGGCUAGUCUUAGAAAAUCUUGGAGUUUGGGUAGAAAUAAUAUAAAGCCCUAGUUUUGUUUGUUUGUUUGUUUUAAUCUCCCUAUUCCUUUAUUUUUCCUGAUUUCCUUUAGAAAAUGAAUGGAAUCUUGGUUCAACUUUACACUUCCCUAUUCCCUCCCUCUCCAACCUCUCUCCCUUUGGAAUGAAGUUUUUACCAUUUUUAGUUUGGGAUUCUGCAAUAUCCAUCUGAAUCUGUCCUCACUCACCUAUAACAUUAACUGUUCCCCAGGUCCCAUUUGUGCACAUCACCAGAGGAUAUGGCAGCCCUGGGGGCAAUGCAAGAGCCACUCUCUGCUUCAGCUCACAUCAGCUUUCCAUCACCCGGAUCCCAUUCAGGGCCUCCACAUCAUGAGAUGCUACUGCACCUCCAGGACCCCCAAUACGUUUUAGUUGGUGCAUCCACAACAAAGAAAUCACUUACUUUUGAAAUAUAUAAAAAUUGGAUACAAUGUGGUGGCCACAGAGCCACUGUCCUCCACAGACCUCAGUCUCAUCUGCU